rnacentral:rRNA from 1 species
ACGGGUGAGUAAUGCCUAGGAAUCUGCCUGGUAGUGGGGGAUAACGUUCGGAAACGAACGCUAAUACCGCAUACGUCCUACGGGAGAAAGCAGGGGACCUUCGGGCCUUGCGCUAUCAGAUGAGCCUAGGUCGGAUUAGCUAGUUGGUGAGGUAAUGGCUCACCAAGGCGACGAUCCGUAACUGGUCUGAGAGGAUGAUCAGUCACACUGGAACUGAGACACGGUCCAGACUCCUACGGGAGGCAGCAGUGGGGAAUAUUGGACAAUGGGCGAAAGCCUGAUCCAGCCAUGCCGCGUGUGUGAAGAAGGUCUUCGGAUUGUAAAGCACUUUAAGUUGGGAGGAAGGGCAGUUACCUAAUACGUGAUUGUUUUGACGUUACCGACAGAAUAAGCACCGGCUAACUCUGUGCCAGCAGCCGCGGUAAUACAGAGGGUGCAAGCGUUAAUCGGAAUUACUGGGCGUAAAGCGCGCGUAGGUGGUUUGUUAAGUUGGAUGUGAAAUCCCCGGGCUCAACCUGGGAACUGCAUUCAAAACUGACUGACUAGAGUAUGGUAGAGGGUGGUGGAAUUUCCUGUGUAGCG